AGAGUUUGAUCCUGGCUCAGGAUAAACGCUGGCGGCGUGCAUGAGACAUGCAAGUCGAACGGACGAUCAGGGCUUGCUCUGAUCGUUAGUGGCGGACGGCUGAGUAACGCGUAGGUGACCUGCCCCGAAGUGGGGAAUAACUGCCCGAAAGGGUGGCUAAUACCGCAUGCGGAGCCACGUUCGAUCGUGUCUCCAAAGCCGCAAGGCGCUUCGGGAGGGGCCUGCGUCCGAUUAGCUCGUUGGUGAGGUAACGGCUCACCAAGGCGACGAUCGGUAGGUGGUCUGAGAGGACGAUCACCCAGACUGGGACUGAGACACGGCCCAGGCUCCUACGGGAGGCAGCAGUCGGGAAUUUUGCUCAAUGGGCGAAAGCCUGAAGCAGCAACGCCGCGUGAGGGAUGAAGGCCUUCGGGUUGUAAACCUCUUUUCUCAGGGACGAUAAUGACGGUACCUGAGGAAUAAGCCACGGCUAACUACGUGCCAGCAGCCGCGGUAAUAC
rnacentral:rRNA from 1 species